rnacentral:rRNA from 1 species
GACGAACGCUGGCGGCGUGCCUAAUACAUGCAAGUUGAACGCAGUUGCGACCGGGUGAGUAACGCGUAGGUAACUUCCUCAUAGCGGGGGUUAACUAUUGGUAACGAUAGCUAAUACCGCCUACUGUGAGAUGGACCUGCGUUGUAUUUGCUAGUUGGUGAGGUAAAGGCACACCAAGGCGCCGAUACAUAGCCGACCUGAGCGGGUGAUCGGCCCAACUUGGACUGGGACACGGCCCAAACUCCUGCGGGAUGCAGCAGUAGGGAAUCUUCGGCAAUGGACAGAAGACUGGCCUAGCAACGCCGCGUGGGUGAAGAAGGUUUUCGGAUCGUAAAGCUCUGUUGGUAGAGAAGCGGUACCUAACCAGAAAGGGACGGCUAACUACGUGACAGCAGCCGCGGUAAUUC